rnacentral:tRNA from 1 species
UCUGGUCGUAGCAUAUCCGGUUAAUGCGCCCCGCUGUGAACGGGGACAUGGUUCAAAUCCCGCGCCAGGACCA